CGAGCGAGUUAUUGCUUUCGGGUAAUAACUCAGCGGCGAACGGGUGAGUAACACGUAGGUGAUCUACCCUUCAGAGGGGGACAACCUUGGGAAACCGAGGCUAAUCCCACAUGAGUUCGUUGGCAGGGAUGCUGAUGAAGAAAAGGUUACUGAGAAGUAAUCGCUGAAGGAUGAGCCUGCGGCCCAUCAGGUAGUUGGCGAGGUAAAGGCUCACCAAGCCGAAGACGGGUAACCGGUCUGAGAGGAUGUACGGUCACACUGGGACUGAGACACGGCCCAGACUCCUACGGGAGGCAGCAGCAGGGAAUUUUGGGCAAUGGGCGAAAGCCUGACCCAGCGACGCCGCGUGGAGGAAGAAAUCCUUCGGGAUGUAAACUCCUGGACUGGGGGACGAGAGAGGACGGUACUCCAGUAGAAAGGGACGGCUAACUACGUGCCAGCAGCCGCGGUAAAACGUAGGUCCCGAGCGUUGUUCGGAUUCACUGGGUGUAAAGGGCGCGUAGGCGGUUGUUUGUGUCUCAUGUGAAAACUCAGGGCUCAACUCUGAGAUUGCGUGGGAAACUAAGCAGCUAAGAGGACGGUAGAGGGGAGUGGAAUUCCCGGUGUAGCGGUAAAAUGCGUAGAUAUCGGGAA
rnacentral:rRNA from 1 species